ACUCCACCAACAGCUGCCUUUGUUUCCUGUUAUUUUGAUAUUUUACGGAUGUGGCGUGUAUGUUUGUGUGUACGGUAAACAUAAUAGACUUUUAGCAGGGGAAAUAUAUUUGUUUCAAAAUCUAAGACUUUACGAUUAGUACCAGAACAGCUGCUUUGAUAUAGGAAAACAUUUCCCUGAUUGCUGCUCACAUGGGACUCGGCAUUGACCAGGGAUCAGUCUCAGAAGGUCUGCCAUCAUCUCUUGAUUCUGUUGGACCGCUUUCUGCAGCUGAUUCCAUACAUUUUCACAUCAGAUUUGUUUAAUUUCUGAAUGACUUCACAUGUCACAAAAGUCUUUUUACUUUGGAUCCCAUUUGACUUUUGCCCCUUUUCCACCGGCUCAGCUCGGGUUCAGCUCACUUUCAGAGCUUUUUUUCGGGGCUGGCCCUGCUUUUAGGGCCCUGCUUCGGAGCAGGUCCUGCCGGGCCGGUGUUCUGACUAUCAGUGCUACCUCGUCAGAUUUUCCUACCGUAGCACGGAUAGAUAGCUAAGUCUAUCUGUCGGUGCUUUUUAUUAGAAUUAAACACAGACAAAUAAAGAUCACCGCAACUCUGUUUUGCACAUUAAUACGUUGUAGGCCCUAUGUCUGUUAUCAAAUGCAGUGCAGCCACAGCGUGUCCACCGAACUGCGCAUGUCACUGUGCUCCUGAAAUGAUAGGAUAUGCUCACACUAAUAACACACCUCUAUUACACAGCUUCAAUCUCACAUAGUAUCGCUACCAACGUCUAUUUAGCAAAGUUUAAUAAAAAAAAAGAGUGUAAUUAAACUAAAAAUAUUUUUAAAAUAUAGGGACAAAAUAACUCACAAUACAACGUAUUUUGUCCUGAUUAACCGCCAAACAACGACUUGUUUAUAGUAUUAACGACUUUGCAGACGUCAAACUAAAGUCAUUUAUAAAUAAAAACUAAAAACAGGAAGUAAUACAGCAGUUUAACGAAAACCAUGUAUAAAAUAAAUUAAAUAAAGCUUACCAUAAUCUUCGAUGAAAUAAAACACGAGAUACUUCCACAGGUAGGACGUAUUUAUAAGAAAUCUUUUUUUUAUUUUAUUUUAUUUUAUUUAUUUUUUUUUUUUUUAAUAAAAAAUCUGCUGUGUAAGCAGUAUAUGCCGUAGCGUCGAUGUGCGCAUGCGGAUUACCACAAGGUAGGACGGAUUUAUGGUUGGCACAGAUGAACAGAACACCUGUUCUGGUUUCGUGGGUGACGCAAGCUUCGCUCCUGCUCACUGAUUGGCUGUGGGCGUGGACAGACGGAGCAGCAAAGAGAGAAGAAAAACGAAGGCGCGACUUUUCCAACUGGCUACAAUACGGAAGUGAUGGAAGAUACAAACAAGCCGUGAACUAAGAGAUUCUUUGCUUCGGAUUUCAAUAUUCAGCGGCAGCUCGAUGGAGCAGUGAGGAAUGAGUCGUUUUUGUUAAUGUAGUGGAGAGAUUGGAAAGUCUCGUUAGCCGCUUCGGAGCCCCACGCAGCCCCACGGUGAACACCGACUCAGAUGCAGCUAAUGCCGCUGCUGAUCUCCAGCCAGGGAGCAGAAGAAGAGGAACAUGGUUGACAUGAUGGAGAACGAUGAGAACUGUCAGAACAACUGGAUCUCCUUCAGGAGGAAGCAGCUACCAGCAGAGAUGGCAGAGCUCCAUGGAGAGGGUAGAGGCAAACAGAAGAAAAAUAAAAGCUGUUGUGUCUCAAUGAACAAAGUCUCUUUUUUAAUACUCUCUCCACACAUUAUUGUACAUACUGUAGUUUGUUUGGCAUCAAGUUCCUAAUAUAAUCCUCCCAAAAUGUGAGGGACUUUAGACAGAGUGAAAAUAACAUUAUAUUGUGUAAAUUUGUCAUUGACACUUAACAUUGUAGAUUACCAAUGAAGGUAUCUAAAAGUGAAACAUUAUUCAGCAAACCAAACAUUUUGACAUUGUUAUCAGGGUUGCUAUUAACAAGAACCCAAAAUACAAAUCAUGUUUGUUCAUUUCUAUGUUGUACAACAUCCUUAUAUCCACUCUGUUCAGCUGACUUACUGGAGAAUCUUCAAUGUAAGAAAAUGUGUCCAAAACCCCUAACCUUAGUUAGUGAUAAACAAGAUUGAGUUUAAACUUUUAAGCCCCCGAUCAAUUCUUAGUGACCAAAAUGUGAAAACAUGGAAGGUUUGAUUAAAACUACAACCAGUCAGAUUAGAAGGAAUACAGCUUUAUUUGUUCUCAGUAUAACUUGAACAUCAGAUGAAUUAUAAUUAAACAUAUUGAAGUUAAAAACAACAGAUUGUUAAUGCACUUCAACUGUGUGAGAACAUCAGCCACAUUUUUUAAGUUAGAAAUGUUUCAUCAGCACAUUGAGCUCAUGUGAUUCCUGCUCCAGAAAGGUGAAGGUCUCUGGACAGCCUGAAGGUAAACACUGACGGACAGUCAGGAAGAUGGAAACUGAUGAGACAUCCUACAACUCAGAGGCUGCAGGAAGAAUGAUG